rnacentral:rRNA from 1 species
GACGAACGCUGGCGGCGUGCCUAAUACAUGCAAGUUGAGCGCUGAAGGUUGGUACUUGUACCAACUGGAUGAGCAGCGAACGGGUGAGUAACGCGUGGGGAAUCUGCCUUUGAGCGGGGGACAACAUUUGGAAACGAAUGCUAAUACCGCAUAAAAACUUUAAACACAAGUUUUAAGUUUGAAAGAUGCAAUUGCAUCACUCAAAGAUGAUCCCGCGUUGUAUUAGCUAGUUGGUGAGGUAAAGGCUCACCAAGGCGAUGAUACAUAGCCGACCUGAGAGGGUGAUCGGCCAAAAUGGGAAUGAGACAAGGCCCAAAAGCCUAAGGGAGGCAGCAGUAGGGAAACUUCGGAAAUGGACGAAAGUCUGACCGAGAAACGCCGCGUGAGUGAAGAAGGUUUUCGGAUCGUAAAACUCUGUUGGUAGAGAAGAACGUUGGUGAGAGUGGAAAGCUCAUCAAGUGACGGUAACUACACAGAAAGGGACGGCUAACUACGUG